rnacentral:piRNA from 1 species
UACCUAUGUGUCCAGGAAGUUAAUAUGA